ACUCCAGGUUCCUGUCUGCAAGCACCUCUUGACCACAGGAGCAGUGUCUGGUUUGGCUACUGCAGACAGGAUGGAUCCCCAGUGUGGGAUCCUAUCUGAUAAAGUCAUUUCUCGCACAGUGAGAGGAGCAUUGGAUCAUCAGAGAUUCAUGUUCUGUAGUACCAGGAAGCAUUUGUGAACACCGAAAGACCAAUCAGGUGCCGAUCCGAUCCGAUACAAUCACACAAGAGUCUUUAUUCACAAGUUCAAACUCGGGCUUAAGUCAUGCUGACCCACAGGAUGGUUUCGGUGGAUAAAAGCCCCAAACACUCCUCAGGACAAGAUUUUAUAGGAAAUAUCAAGAGAAGGUAUUCCAUUACAGCAGCCAGAAUAUAGCACUUCAGAAACAAAGUACCAGAGAAACAAAUGGACAGCAAACAUCAAUUCUGAAAUACAUUGUCUCUGAUCUAUGCAGCUUGGAUAGUGAAUUUCUUUCCAUAAAUAGUUAAUAAGAUAUCAGCUCUAAUGACAAGAAUAAACUGUUAAACCAAUUCAUUUAGUGUUUUAUAGAUAGAAAACAACACAAAGACCCACAACUGGUCAAGGCAUAGAGAGAACAAGAGGCUAAGGAAUACUCAACACUAACUGGAACAUAUAUAUUCCAUCUCCUCCUCUUAAGGUUGAAAGAUCAUUGCAGAAUAA
rnacentral:lncRNA from 1 species